GGCUCUUGGGUUGUAAACCUCUUUUCUCAGGGAAUAAAAAAAUGAAGGUACCUGAGGAAUAAGCAUCGGCUAACUCCGUGCCAGCAGCCGCGGUAAUACGGAGGAUGCAAGCGUUAUCCGGAAUGAUUGGGCGUAAAGGGUCCGCAGGUGGCAUUGUAAGUCUGCUGUCAAAGAAUGAGGCUCAACCUCAUCAAGGCAGUGGAAACUACAAAGCUAGAGUGCGUUCGGGGUAGCAGGAAUUCCUGGUGUAGCGGUGAAAUGCGUAAAGAUCAGGAAGAACACCGGUGGCGAAAGCGUGCUACUAGGCCGUAACUGACGCUGAGGGGACGAAAGCUAGGGGAGCGAAUGGGAUUAAAUACCCCAGAAGUCCUAGGGGUUAACGAUGGAUACUAGGCGUGGCUUGUAUCGGCUCAAUCGCGUGCUGGAGCUAACGCGUUAAAUAUCCCCGCGGGGAGUACGCACGCAAGUGUGAAACUCAAAGGAAUUGACGGGGGCCCGCACAAGCGGUGGAGUAUGUGGUUUAAUUCGAUGCAGCGCGAAAAACCUUACCAAGACUUGACAUGUCGCGAAUUUCCUUGAAAGGGAAAAGUGCCUUCGGGAGCGCGAACACAGGUGGUGGAUGGUUGUCUGACCUCGUGUGGGAGAUGUUGGGUUAAGUCCCGCAACGAGCGCAACCCUCGUUUUUAGUUGCCAGCAUUAAGUUGGGCACUCUAGAGAGACUGCCGGUGACAAACCGGAGGAAGGUGGGGAUGACGUCAAGUCAGCAUGCCCCUUACGUCUUGGGCUACACACGUACUACAAUGCUACGGACAGAGGGCAGCUAAACAGCGAUGUCAAGCAAAUCCCGUAAACCGUAGCUCAGUUCAGAUCGCAGGCUGCAACUCGCCUGCGUGAAGGAGGAAUCGCUAGUAAUUGCAGGUCAGCAUACUGCAGUGAAUUCGUUCCCGGGCCUUGUACACACCGCCCGUCACACCAUGGAAGCUGGCAACGCCCGAAGUCAUUACU
rnacentral:rRNA from 1 species